UGGGGGAAUAUUGGACAAUGGGGGAGACCCUGAUCCAGCCAUGCCGCGUGGAUGAUGAAGGCCGGAAGGUUGUAAAAAUCCUUUUAUGACUGAGGAAUAAGUGAAGUGAGGGAAACGCUUCAUGGUGACUGUAGGUCAUGAAUAAGCAACGGCUAAUUACGUGCCAGCAGCCGCGGUAACACGUAAGUUGCGAGCGUUGUUCGGAAUUAUUGGGCGUAAAGGGUAUGUAGGCGGUUCUGCAAGUCUGGUGUGAAAUGCCGGGGCUCAACCCCGGAACUGCGUUGGAAACUGCAGGACUUGAAUCGCUGAGGGGCAGCCAGAAUUCCAGGUGUAGGGGUGAAAUCUGUAGAUAUCUGGAAGAAUACCAAUGGCGAAGGCAGGCUGCCAGCAGAUGAUUGACGCUGAGGUACGA
rnacentral:rRNA from 1 species